GUUCGGAUUCACUGGGCAUAAAGAGCACGUAGGCGGUCUGCUCAGUCGGGUGUGAAAGCCCACGGCCUAACCGUGGAACUGCACCCGAUACUGGUAGACUCGAGGACGGAAGGGGUGAGUGGAACUCCAGGUGGAACGGUGAAAUGUAUAGAUAUCUGGAGGAACACCGGUGGCGAAAGCGGCUCACUGGUCCGUCUCUGACGCUGAGGUGCGAAAGCUAGGGUAGCGAACGGGAUUAGAUACCCCGGUAGUCCUAGCCGUAAACGAUGGGCACUAGGCAAUGGACCAUCCUAUGGGGUUCAUUGCCGUAGCUAAUGUGUUAAGUGCCCCGCCUGGGGAGUACGCUCGCAAGAGUAAAACUCAAAGGAAUUGACGGGGGAUCACACAAGCGGUGGAGCAUGUUGUUUAAUUCGAAGCAACGCGAAGAACCUUACCAGGCCUUGACAUGUACGGAUUAGCUCCUUGAAAGGGGAGUGACAUCUCUUCGGAGUCGGAACGUACACAGGUGUUGCAUGGCU
rnacentral:rRNA from 1 species